rnacentral:rRNA from 1 species
AUGGACGAAAGUCUGACGGAGCAACGCCGCGUGAGUGAUGAAGGUUUUCGGAUCGUAAAACUCUGUUGUUAGGGAAGAACAAGUGCGAGAGUAACUGCUCGCACCUUGACGGUACCUAACCAGAAAGCCACGGCUAACUACGUGCCAGCAGCCGCGGUAAUACGUAGGUGGCAAGCGUUGUCCGGAAUUAUUGGGCGUAAAGCGCGCGCAGGCGGUUUCUUAAGUCUGAUGUGAAAGCCCCCGGCUCAACCGGGGAGGGUCAUUGGAAACUGGGAAACUUGAGUGCAGAAGAGGAGAGUGGAAUUCCACGUGUAGCGGUGAAAUGCGUAGAGAUGUGGAGGAACACCAGUGGCGAAGGCGACUCUCUGGUCUGUAACUGACGCUGAGGCGCGAAAGCGUGGGGAGCGAACAGGAUUAGAUACCCUGGUAGUCCACGCCGUAAACGAUGAGUGCUAAGUGUUAGAGGGUUUCCGCCCUUUAGUGCUGCAGCUAACGCAUUAAGCACUCCGCCUGGGGAGUACGGUCGCAAGACUGAAACUCAAAGGAAUUGACGGGGGCCCGCACAAGCGGUGGAGCAUGUGGUUUAAUUCGAAGCAACGCGAAGAACCUUACCAGGUCUUGACAUCCUUUGCCACUUCUAGAGAUAGAAGGUUCCCCUUCGGGGGACAAAGUGACAGGUGGUGCAUGGUUGUCGUCAGCUCGUGUCGUGAGAUGUUGGGUUAAGUCCCGCAACGAGCGCAACCCUUGAUCUUAGUUGCCAGCAUUCAGUUGGGCACUCUAAGGUGACUGCCGGUGACAAACCGGAGGAAGGUGGGGAUGACGUCAAAUCAUCAUGCCCCUUAUGACCUGGGCUACACACGUGCUACAAUGGAUGGUACAAAGGGCUGCGAGACCGCGAGGUUUAGCCAAUCCCAUAAAACCAUUCUCAGUUCGGAUUGCAGGCUGCAACUCGCCUGCAUGAAGCUGGAAUCGCUAGUAAUCGCGGAUCAGCAUGCCGCGGUGAAUACGUUCCCGGGCCUUGUACACACCGCCCGUCACACCACGAGAGUUUGCAACACCCGAAGUCGGUGGGGUAACCGCAAGGAGCCAGCCGCCUAAGGUGGGG